UUCUGCGUAUUAGUAAAUUGUGCAUACGUCUGUCUGAUGAAGAUUCAAUUUGGGCGUAAAAUUUGACUUUUGUACUCGACUAAAAUGCCAAUCCCAUGUUUUUAAUCAAAUAUUUCGAAUAAAGUAAAAAGCAUGAAGUGAACACUGAAGGAUAACAUUGUAUCGAAUAAACAUAGAAGUACUAUAAUCUGAUAAUGUACCUAACGUUUGGUGAUAAAGUGUUGUACGGUGCAUGGUUUACCAAAGUUCCUUCGUAUGUCGUAAUUAAGAUCAAAUUUUGUUUCAAUUCUUAUUAUUCACAAAGAUUUAAAUAAACUAGCAGCCGAAUAAUAAAUACUAAAGCACACAUUAACGCCAUACUAGCGAUACUUCAACCAAACUUAAUCUAAUUACCUCGUACGUACCUUCAGCGGGCUGAUAACACAAGAUUAACGUCACCGACGAAGAUGUUAGGCUAGGAGCACACGAGCCAACUGUAUCAGGGCGUUCUCGUGAUUUAUGCACUGUGAACAGGGAGCUGUUCGAUAAGAGCCGACGUGCAAGCCGCCGCCGGCGUAAUUUAAGCCCGUGUGGACCCGGCUUUGCGAUAUUCGUCAGUUCAAUUUAUAGCGUAUGUGAGAAAUUGUAUUCUGUUUUAGGUAUGUAAGUUUCUAUUUUUGUGUGUGGUGUAUGAUCUCUGUAUUCGGUCUGAGUCUAGAUAUACUACGUUUUAUAGUACUACUAGGCUCUACUAGCUGUUGCUCGUGGACCUGUUCGCCAGAAAGCGAAAAUAAUACCAAAGGAGCAAAAUUGGUAUAAAACCUAUCCUAUUUGGUUACCAAGUUUCAUUACAAUCCAUUCAGUUUUUUGGUCGUGAAAGAGUAACAAACAUACAUAAAAACUUUCCUGUUCAAAACGCUAGCAGGAAGGAAGACAUUUAAAACAAUUUGAUACUACAAUUUAAUUGUUUGAUACGUUACUGCCGGCCGCUAUCUUCUCAGUGUGAUUUGAGCUCUUCCAGCCGCAUAUAAAACUGUGAGUUUGUGGCCUUAAUGUUUGCAAUCCGAUUUGUACAUGUCUACGUCAAAAUUUCCGAGGUUAGACUUGUCAGACGGACGGCCACGUGACGGGAACAGAGCCUUUGUGGCGGUUUGCGUAUCUUUUGCGGUAUUGUUUGAGAAAUCCAACGCUACUUAAGUGCAGGAAUACUGAUUCGUUGACGCUGUAUAUUUUUUGUCUAAUAAGAAAAAAAGAAAAACAUUGUAAUUGUGUGUCAGAUGAUCUCACAAAAGUUAUUUUCUUUCUCUCUCUCUUGUUUUAUUACUCUAUUGCGGAUUCUCUCUUUGACUUUAAGUUUUGAGCAACAAAGGCUAAAUAAUACCGUGGGCAUACCAGACCUUCACUAGACGUUCUAGUUUUUGGUUUACUUUUCGUCUAUCGUAAUCCAGCCGAUAUUGGAUAUCUGAUCUGUUUUUUGUUUCUAUAUGUUUUCGUGGGAUUCGUGGGAUUAAUAGUAAAUAAAAGAAUUUUUCUAUGUUAUGUUUACAAACAAGUAACUCUUCGUCAAAAUAUCGAUUCAGAUCUUUCAACCGACUCAACUUUUUAUAACGAUAAAAUCGAGGUCUGUUUUUCUGUUUCAUGAAUAUGGAAUAUUUUUCAUCACUUUUGAUCUAAAAAUUAAUAGAGGUGUUCAAUAAAGUCGGUUGGUCUUUUUAAAAAAAAGAAACAAAUUUGUAGAAAAAUAACAUUCUUUUUUCCAGAGAUUUAACUGAUAUUAAUUUUCAAUGUAGACCUAAAGUUUGCGUACUAUCAGUAUAUUGCAAUUUCGAUUUUUGUUUCAACUUACAAAAAACUUUAUUGUUUGUUACAUACGCAAAACGCUGCUGUAAAACGAUGAAAAACAGGUUAUCUAUAAUAGCCAUAUCAUCAUUAAAAAUUGUAAUACCCCCUUUACCGCGAACAAUUUAAAACGAUUUUGAACCCAAUCUCCUUAACCUUAAGGUAUAUUUUUGUUAAUUUCGGCAGUCGCUGCCGCUUUCACCUGGACCAUCGGUCUGUAUUUUGAAUGGUGACGGAAGUACAGCGCACAAAGCGCUCACCGCCGCGGACAAUAGUCUCUUCCAUGCGUUCACGUUCUUGCAUCGUGUAUUGACUAACACUGAUAGUGCUGUUUGGUAUAAACGGUUUGAUAUUUAGGAGGCUGAAUCUUUGAUAGCACGAAAUUGAAUGACGAUUUAAAGUAUUUUUUCUCACUUUCCAAAUAAAAUUUAAUGUAGUAGUAAAUUUGUAGGAGCGUGGAAAAUAAAUAGCACUAAACGCUUUUAAUGUUUGAGCCUGUACUGUCCUGAAAACCUAGGUACCAUGAUAGUUUAAUUACAAGCCCAUCACUAAACUGUAUCAAAAUUGGUCAAGCCGUUCGAGAGCUAUGAGGCAACACUCACACACAAACGGAGAAGAGGUUCUUCUUAAGCCAUUUUCUGGCUAAACUCAUUCACAAAUAAACUCAUCAAUACAUGGAGGGAUCUUGCCAUUGUGGCUGGUUGAAAAUAAUUGAAACUGAAUUUCAAUUGGCAAAAAAUAUGUUUGCUAGGAACGCUGACGUCACUGAAACGGAUUUACCAAUUUUUAACGGCAAGUGUGAAGUGAAAAGUCGGCAAGGUGCUAAAAAGUUAAAAAAAGCUAGUGGUCUCCUAGAGAAUGGGUGCAGUAUAAUAUAUAUAAAUUUUAAAGUUCGUUUUCAUUGACUUUAGAGAUUUUUGUAUCCAAUAUUCAAGUCAGUCUUAGACUCAAAACCAGACUACGUCUGCUCGGCUAAUUUACGAUUAAUUGAUAAUAAAAGCUUUACACAAAAUGAUCAUACUCAACGUAAAGAUCAAGAAUGCAUAGGAUAGCGCGUAUUACUUAUCCAAGUACUAAAUCAAGCUACUGAGUUUCACUAAGCAUCGAUGUCGGCAUCAUCCGUACACACGGAAAGCCGAAAAUACCUCAAACUGCACCUACCAUUCUACACACACACACACACACGCAAAAAGCCUCCAACACACGCGAACUCAUCGAUAACUAAUCCGUAGACAAUCACACAUCUAACAGAAACGACACCAAGCCUGAAUGCGUUUAAUCUUCAGAACGGCAACGGGGCGCAAUAUCGUCAUGAUGAACAGCUAACAAUAGACCCUCGAUCUCCACUGGAUAUUAAGUUUCCUGAUAUUACAAUAAAACGCCCACCAUGGGCUAUAUGUGUAUGAAUUAGUUCGCUCUAUUCAUGGAAGUAUUACUCUUUGUGAUCACUCUGUGGCAAGGAGAUUGCAGUCUGUCCUCUGAAUUGGAAUGCUGGAGUGCAGAUUUAAAGAGCGAUGAGUUGAGUGAGAUAGGUAUUAUAUUAAGAGGAAAUUUGAAGUCGAUGUAGUGAAAGGCUUUUUAGCCCAUUCAUUAGCAAGAAAUUAAUUUUGAUGGAAUAUUCCUUCUGUUUUUUUUAACUACUAUUUUAUUAUGAUAAGCUGUAAGUAAAUUACCGCUCUUCACUUUGAUUUAAUUUUCUAAGUGUAUCCUUCUUAUCAUACCGAUCUACCACAUUAUCCACCUUUUCAUAGUCAAAACGUAUUUUUAUAUUUGUUUUUGUCCCUCUCACAAUAUAAAUAGAGUAUGUAUAAAAUUUAUAUAAUAAAAAACAAUGAUUUCAGUAACUCCACAGGCUGAUAAAAAUAACUCCAAAGCGAUCAAAAUUAAUUGUGAGUGACAAAAUUAGAAAAAUCACUUCAAAUCCCAAAAAUACAUUUGGAUAGUCAGUGGAGAUUAAAAUUGUCAGGAAUACGUCCAUUGUAGGUACGGCC